rnacentral:miRNA from 1 species
UCACGGGUACCAGCCGGCAAUACGGCUAUCAUGCCGGCUGGUAGCCAGUAUACUACAGACAUGCCCGGCUGAUAGCCGUAUUGCCGGCUGGUACCCGUGAUGUA